rnacentral:tRNA from 1 species
AGUAAGAUAAGCUAACCUAUAAGCUGUUGGGCUCAUACCCCAAAUAUGAGAUCUACUCUCUUACUA